rnacentral:rRNA from 1 species
AGUGAACGCUGGCGGUAGGCCUAACACAUGCAAGUCGAACGGCAGCACAGUAAGAGCUUGCUCUUACGGGUGGCGAGUGGCGGACGGGUGAGGAAUACAUCGGAAUCUACUUUUUCGUGGGGGAUAACGUAGGGAAACUUACGCUAAUACCGCAUGCGACCUACGGGUGAAAGCAGGGGAUCUUCGGACCUUGCGCGAUUGAAUGAGCCGAUGUCGGAUUAGCUAGUUGGCGGGGUAAAGGCCCACCAAGGCGACGAUCCGUAGCUGGUCUGAGAGGAUGAUCAGCCACACUGGAACUGAGACACGGUCCAGACUCCUACGGGAGGCAGCAGUGGGGAAUAUUGGACAAUGGGCGCAAGCCUGAUCCAGCCAUACCGCGUGGGUGAAGAAGGCCUUCGGGUUGUAAAGCCCUUUUGUUGGGAAAGAAAAGCGGCAGGUUAAUACCCCGCUGUUCUGACGGUACCCAAAGAAUAAGCACCGGCUAACUUCGUG